rnacentral:rRNA from 1 species
UUGGACCUACGGGGCGCAGCAGUGAGGAAUAUUGGUCAAUGGGCGCAAGCCUGAACCAGCCAAGUCGCGUGAGGGAUGACGGUCCUAUGGAUUGUAAACCUCUUUUGUCGGGGAGCAAGGCCCGCCACGUGUGGUGGGAAGGAGAGUACCCGAAGAAAAAGCAUCGGCUAACUCCGUGCCAGCAGCCGCGGUAAUACGGAGGAUGCGAGCGUUAUCCGGAUGUAUUGGGGUUAAAGGGUGCGUAGGCGGAAGGUUAAGUCAGCGGUCAAAGGUCGGUG